rnacentral:rRNA from 1 species
GACGAACGCUGGCGGCGUGCUUAACACAUGCAAGUCGAACGGAAAGGCCCUGCUUUUGUGGGGUGCUCGAGUGGCGAACGGGUGAGUAACACGUGAGUAACCUGCCCUUGACUUUGGGAUAACUUCAGGAAACUGGGGCUAAUACCGGAUAGGAGCUCCUGCUGCAUGGUGGGGGUUGGAAAGUUUCGGCGGGUGGGGAUGGACUCGCGGCUUAUCAGCUUGUUGGUGGGGUAGUGGCUUACCAAGGCUUUGACGGGUAGCCGGCCUGAGAGGGUGACCGGCCACAUUGGGACUGAGAUACGGCCCAGACUCCUACGGGAGGAAGCAGUGGGGAAUAUUGCACAAUGGGCGGAAGCCUGAUGCAGCAACGCCGCGUGCGGGAUGACGGCCUUCGGGUUGUAACCCGCUUCCGCCUGUGACGAAGCGUGAGUGACGGUAAUGGGUAAAGAAGCACCGGCUAACUACGUG